rnacentral:lncRNA from 1 species
UGCAGGAAAUACUUGGAGAGAAUAAGGUACAUUUAAUCUGCAUUGAACUUCAUAAUGGUUUAGAUUUUAUUGCAAAGAUCAAAUUGCUAUUUCACAUUUUGAAUGUCUAUAGAGUAGAUAACGAUAAAAUGGUAAUUUAACGAAUAUGGACAAGCCUAUUCCAUGGUAUAAUAUAUUCCAUCAUUUUGGUCGAACUGUGGCAGGGGAUAUCUCUUGCC